GGGCGGAGACAGUCGCAGUGACAGACAGCAUCCAGCUCUGUAGUGGAUGAGAAGGAUAAAGGCUGCUCUGCCUCACUACGCAGCGUCGCAGUCACUAAUUAGUAAUUACUAGCCGUACUCGCUUUGAGUGUAACUUUCAAACUGUUCACUUACUUCGGCUUCUGCGUGUGGCGCAUGACUGGAGGGACGCGUCAGCAGCGACCUGGCAACUACAACCUCACGUUUGGAGGGUUUGUUAGAGGAGUGGGCUCUCCCUGCAGCGACCAACUUGCAUGCAAAACAACGGCAUUGAAGCUGAGGCUCGGAGUAUACAGCUCUUCACAGCGGGAGUCCACUUCGUCUGCAAGGACCGGGAUAAACGGGAGAAACUGAGGUGCAGUGCUCAAGAGUUGUGACUCUGCUCUAAUAAAUGUCAACCUUCUCUGAUAUUUGUAUGGGUCUUUCUCCUGAACCAAAGAUCUCCCCUGGCGGACUGAACAAACGACUCGACUCCAGAGCACCCAUCUUCAGUCUACUUGUGGUCUGACGGCACUCACCAACAUCAAAGACUUCACUCCCUGUGUUAUCUCUCCUCGAGGGAGCUUCACUUCACUUCACUUUGUCACUGAGCUCUCCGUUCUUCUUGCUGUUUCAUCCCUCUGCUUCCGUUAGAGUGGGGGAUGUCUGUUUU